UACGUAGGGUGCAAGCGUUAAUCGGAAUUACUGGGCGUAAAGCGUGCGCAGGCGGUUUUGUAAGCCAGAUGUGAAAGCCCCGGGCUCAACCUGGGAAUGGCAUUUGGGACUGCAAGGCUUGAGUGCGGCAGAGGAGACUGGAAUUCCUGGUGUAGCAGUGAAAUGCGUAGAUAUCAGGAGGAAUACCGAUGGCGGAAGGCAGGUCUCUGGGCUGACACUGACGCUCAUGCACGAAAGCGUGGGG
rnacentral:rRNA from 1 species